UCUCAACCCCACCAGACAGGAAGCCACACAGUCACUUCUGGAGGGGAAUAGUCCUGUGAGCUGGGGAUGGAGGGCUGGGAGAGAUGGUGCAGACUGGGACCGGCCACUCCUUGGACGCCUGUGGUGGAGGGUCCUGUCCUUUACCAUGGCCACCAUACCUCUGGGUGUGGACAGCAUCUGCUGAUGGAGGAAUUCCCAGCAAUGUCCCUCUGUGAUGCAUGCGGUGACUUUCCAGGCACCUUCAGACCAGAGCCAGUGGUAGCACUGGCAUCUCAGUCUCCUCCUGUGGGGGCUGGCUCGGCCUGCAGGAUGGCUGGGACACCCUGGACAGCCAGCUCGGGCAUUGUCCUUGCAGAUCCGGGAUGUUCCAGGAACAGCGGUAUAAAUCCUGUUGAGAACUGGCCAGGAGAGACCAGGAUCGGACAUCGGUGGUAUUUGGCCCCUCUGGACACCGGUCUGCAGAAGGAGAGAGGCCACCCUGACGGUAUUCCAGGGCUAGGCCACCCUGACGGUAUUCUGGGGCUCUGGGUAGACUGGUCCCGGUCGGGCCUUAUCGCCAAUCAGCCGACCCGAAGGAGUUUAUCGGGAAAGCCUCUAGAGGGCACUGCCUACCCCUCAAGGCGUGGAUCAGGUCCUGCCACCUCUGCAAGGCCUCCUUGACAGUCCUCUGCCCUGCAUGAGCCUCUGUCACGUGCUGGGAGCUGCACUGCUGCCCCCUUUCCUCCGGUGGGCCUCGUCUGUCUCUGCAGUGAGAGGUAAGUGGGGUGUGUGUGGGAGUCACAUGGUGAUGUUUAGUAAACACCAACAGGACUGGAUCCUGUGGAUUUGGGCUUCAGGUUGCAUGGCAAGGGCCUGAGCUUUCGCAUCUCACAGGCCUGAGUUUGAUCCCAGCUGUGCCACUAGUUACUUCUUAGUGUGGACAAGUUCUAAGACCCGU
ensembl:lncRNA